ACAAAAAAAUGUAAGACAUAGCUGUAAUCCACCAUCCAGCUGAGCCCGCGUCCAGCGACGGUUCGAUUCUACCUGUCCAUUCUACCUAUCCAUUCUA
rnacentral:sRNA from 1 species